UUACGACCAUAUUACGUAGACAUAUUAGUUCUCGUACGAUCACCGAAGUUAAGCAACGUCGAGACUGGUCAGUACAUAGAUAGGUGACCGCUUGUGAAUGCCAGG